rnacentral:rRNA from 1 species
CAGCCGCCGCGGGAAUACGUAGGGUGCGAGCGUUAAUCGGAAUUACUGGGCGUAAAGCGUGCGCAGGCGGUUGUGUAAGACAGGUGUGAAAUCCCCGGGCUUAACCUGGGAACUGCGCUUGUGACUGCACAGCUAGAGUAUGGCAGAGGGGGGUGGAAUUCCACGUGUAGCAGUGAAAUGCGUAGAGAUGUGGAGGAACACCGAUGGCGUAGGCAGCCCCCUGGGCCAAUACUGACGCUCAUGCACGAAAGCGUGGGGAGCAAACAGGAUUAGAUACCCCCGUAGUCCCUGUCUCUUAUAC